GGAAUUUUGAAGAACAAAGGAAAGGCUGAAGGAAAGAGUGAUGGAGGUGAAUUGUGUAAUUUAACUGGCAUCCUGGAUGAUUUCUAGAGGGAAAUCACGCCUUACAUACUGCCUGGAAACCUCCUGAAAGGAUCAGUUGGUGUGGAUGGAUGUUGAGAUAGACCACAUGGCCUUCGAAAGACUUCAACAAGGUUGUUCACCACAAGCUGUUGAAGUAAGCCCUUACAGGAUCGAAGCAAGGUUUUAAUGAGGGUAAGUAGUAUGUUAAAAGCUAGGGAAGACAGUGUUGGAGAAAGUGGUUUUAACGGUGUUAGCAGAAGAAAGAGGGCUGCAGUAGAGCCCCUGACAGGUUUUAACAUAAAGCUACAGAUGCUGGCUCUGGG
ensembl:lncRNA